rnacentral:rRNA from 1 species
AUACGGAGGGUGCAAGCGUUAUCCGGAUUUAUUGGGUUUAAAGGGUGCGUAGGCGGUUUGAUAAGUCAGCGGUGAAAUAUUUCAGCUUAACUGGAAGGGUGCCGUUGAUACUGUCAGGCUUGAAUUUAGUUGCUGUGGGUGGAAUGUGUGGUGUAGCGGUGAAAUGCAUAGAUAUCACACAGAAUAUCGAUUGCGAAGGCAGCUCACAAAGCUAAUAUUGACGCUGAUGCACGAAAGUGUGGGGAUCAAACAGGAUUAGAUACCCUGGUAGUCCACACUGUAAACGAUGAUAACUCGCUGUCGGCGAUACACAGCCGGUGGCCAAGCGAAAGCGAUAAGUUAUCCACCUGGGGAGUACGACCGCAAGGUUGAA